AAACUUUCAGGGACACAUUUUGGGUUAAAAAAAGACAUUUCACACUCAAACGCUCCUCAAAUAGGACCAGCAGCUACUGUUUGAAAGUUUAUUGCUCGGCCACAUGGAGAAGAUGAAGCUACUUUUCUCCUGUCACAGCAUGGAUACUUUAAAGCCGUGGUAAGGGACCACCGGUGCAAGUGUCACCCAAGCGUUUUUUUGCGCAGUGAUUACCCCCCCAACCCUUAGGCCGGUUAGUUUGUUGUGUUUAUCCGCCACACCUUCAAGACUGGGAAAAGGGGGUUCGAUCUUGUGCAGCCCGGACGGACUAAGCGUCACCAUGAUGGAUGGAACGGUUCUGCAUUGCAAUGACAAUGGACAAACAAAUGGCCGGUACGCUGCAGCCGAGCAGAGAGGAUGAUUGGCUGCAAUCUGCCGUCCCUCCAGGACUUGUUCGCUUCAAGGACCCUAAAGCGAGCUAGAAAGAUUGUAGCCAACCCCUCUCAACCAGGAGAAAAAGGGUUUGUGUCCCUUCAAUCUUGCAGGAGGCCGACAUUCAUCAGGACCAAGACUUCACGCCACACGAACAGUUGGGCUCAUUAACAGAGCCGUGGUCCUCCACAGAAUGACUCUACUCAAAGCACUUUUGGAUACUUUGAAAUACAUUGUGUAUAGUAUUGCGGUUUGCCUGUGC
ensembl:lncRNA